rfam:Rachicladosporium antarcticum strain CCFEE 5527 scaffold_2, whole genome shotgun sequence.
AAAUACGCCCAUAGCUCCUUGAAAACUCGCAAACCCGUCCGCUCUUGCAUAGAUAAGCGCGGAAGCGGCAGAAUAGUACUGUAGUGGGUGACCAUACGGGAAGUCCUGCUGGUGUAUGUU